rnacentral:rRNA from 1 species
AUUGAACGCUGGCGGCAGGCCUAACACAUGCAAGUCGAACGAGUGGCGGACGGGUGAGUAAUGUCUGGGAAACUGCCUGAUGGAGGGGGAUAACUACUGUAAACGGUAGCUAAUACCGCAUACCAUCAGAUGUGCCCAGAUGGGAGUAUCUUGUUGGUGGGGUAAAGGCUCACCAAGGCUACGAUCCCUAGCUUCUCUGAGAGGAUGACCAGCCACACUGGAACUGAGACACGGUCCAGACUCCGACGGGAGGCAGCAGUGGGGAAGAUUGCAAAAUGGGCGCAAGCCUGAUGCAGCAAUGCCGAGUGUAUGAAGAAGGCCUUCGGGUUGUAAAGUACUUUCAGCGGGGAGGCGUUACCCGCAGAAGAAGCACCGGCUAACUCCGUGCCAGCCGCCGCGGUAAUUC